GAAAAAAAAAAGCCCACGAACAGAGCCCCCAGUCAACCUUAUCCCGCACCACCACCACUCGUUCGCCUCGCAACCGGCUCCACCAACCCUCGACUCGCCGCCGCCCCCGACCGGUGCCGCCACCGUCCGUCGCCGUGGAUCGCACCGCCGCCACCGUGUCUCGCUGCGGAUCACGCCGCCGCCACCGUCCUUCGCUUGAAUCGCGCCGCCGCCACCAUCCCUCGAUGGAGAGCGCCCCCCGCUCGACUGCCCCCGCCCAUGGGUCCCGCCGCCGGUCUCCUCCUGCAACCCCGCCGCCACCGUUCCCUGGACCCGGCAGCCGCUCCGCCACCCGCCUCGGAUCCGGCCAUGGCGCCGCCCCCCACCGCGGGAUCCGGCCGCCGCGACGUCACCGUCCAUCGCCCAGUGGUGCAACACCCAACUCACGGAGUUCCCCAUCGCCGCCGACACUCCGGCGAACUUCCUUGCCACCUCGCGGUGGACCUCUCCCUGCUGCUCCCGCGACCUUCGCCAGCGUACUUCAACCCCGCGGGCAGAGUCCCCACUCCUCCCACACCGCAAUAGAGCAUGGCUUGCCCCACGGUCCGUUCGUCCUCGGCGUCCCGCCAUGUUCGCUGCCGAGAUGCCAUCUCCCUGUCCACAUCUGAGGAUCCUUCGUUUGUCCUGGGGUAUUUCCCCGCCGUCCGUUGUCGAGGGCGAUUGCGGCUACAUUCCCCGCUGACGAGUCGCACUGCCGUACUUCCUCAAGAUCCAUGUCGUCUUAGCCUAUAGGGAAGCGGCAGGAAUUCGUACUACUUUUACAUUUAAGAAUUGGAUCCGUGAUGGGCAUCCACACAGUGUGCCUCUGUUCCCAGGAGGAUGCAGCGGCAGUCGGAUUUGCUUCGUAAAAAAUUGUAUUUGGAUGAAUUCCUACAAAAAGAAUGUUUGGCAGGUCAGAUACAAAAUAAACUGAAGUUCAAAAAGAUAGCAGACUGGGAUCGAAAAACAGGAGAACUUUGUAACAAAAAAUAGUAGUUGAACAAAGUUUCUACGGCAUAUGUAGAAUUAGAUCAAGAAGAAAAAAGAUAACACUAAAAGACUCUACGUGAUGCACAGAGUACUAGUUGUACAUGUAUUGGGCAUGUACAAAUUGGAACAUCUACUGUAGGAGUGUUUGGUUUUUACAUGUAUUUCCUUUUGUUUCAAGUAGUACUACUACUCCACCAGCCAAUUGUAUAUUAUUCUUUCUUCCGGUGAAACGUUCAGUGCGACCGCCGUAUGUUAAAAGGAG
rnacentral:rRNA from 1 species